GUGCUCACCUUGGCAGCAUAUAUACUAAAAUUGGAAUGAUACAGAGAAGACUAGCAUGGCACCUGGGCAAAGAUGACAUGGAGAACAGUCCUCCAGUUCU
rnacentral:snRNA from 1 species